rnacentral:rRNA from 2 species
UGCAGUCGAGCGAACUGAUUAGAAGCUUGCUUCUAUGACGUUAGCGGCGGACGGGUGAGUAACACGUGGGCAACCUGCCUGUAAGACUGGGAUAACUUCGGGAAACCGAAGCUAAUACCGGAUAGGAUCUUCUCCUUCAUGGGAGAUGAUUGAAAGAUGGUUUCGGCUAUCACUUACAGAUGGGCCCGCGGUGCAUUAGCUAGUUGGUGAGGUAACGGCUCACCAAGGCAACGAUGCAUAGCCGACCUGAGAGGGUGAUCGGCCACACUGGGACUGAGACACGGCCCAGACUCCUACGGGAGGCAGCAGUAGGGAAUCUUCCGCAAUGGACGAAAGUCUGACGGAGCAACGCCGCGUGAGUGAUGAAGGCUUUCGGGUCGUAAAACUCUGUUGUUAGGGAAGAACAAGUACGAGAGUAACUGCUCGUACCUUGACGGUACCUAACCAGAAAGCCACGGCUAACUACGUGCCAGCAGCCGCGGUAAUACGUAGGUGGCAAGCGUUAUCCGGAAUUAUUGGGCGUAAAGCGCGCGCAGGCGGUUUCUUAAGUCUGAUGUGAAAGCCCACGGCUCAACCGUGGAGGGUCAUUGGAAACUGGGGAACUUGAGUGCAGAAGAGAAAAGCGGAAUUCCACGUGUAGCGGUGAAAUGCGUAGAGAUGUGGAGG